GACGAACGCUGGCGGCGUGCUUAACACAUGCAAGUCGAACGGAAAGGCCCUGCUUUUGUGGGGUGCUCGAGUGGCGAACGGGUGAGUAACACGUGAGUAACCUGCCCUUGACUUUGGGAUAACUUCAGGAAACUGGGGCUAAUACCGGAUAGGAGCUCCUGCUGCAUGGUGGGGGUUGGAAAGUUUCGGCGGUUGGGGAUGGACUCGCGGCUUAUCAGCUUGUUGGUGGGGUAGUGGCUUACCGAGGCUUUGACGGGUAGCCGGCCUGAGAGGGUGACCGGCCACAUUGGGACUGAGAUACGGCCCAGACUCCUACGGGAGGCAGCAGUGGGGAAUAUUGCACAAUGGGCGGAAGCCUGAUGCAGCAACGCCGCGUGCGGGAUGACGGCCUUCGGGCUGUAAACCGCUUUCGCCUGUGACGAAGCGUGAGUGACGGUAAUGGGUAAAGAAGCACCGGCUAACUACGUG
rnacentral:rRNA from 1 species